AAUCCGAUAACGAAUCGCACGAGCGAGGCCUUCUGCCCUCGAGCGAGCAGUCGCACGCACCAGUCGCACACCAGAUCCCUUCGCCGCCGCCCUCCAUCCUUCGCCAUCGCAGAUCCAUCCCGCCGCCGCCGCUCCAUCCCUCUCUUCCCUCCAAGCUUGUCGCCGGCGGCGAAGCGUACGGCGCUCCAUCCCUUCGCCUGCAGGAACCUAUCACGCGCGCCGAGGCGAGGGCCUCGUGGACUCCGUCCGACGCCGCUUGGCCGACGACCCUGCCGCCGGGCAGGAGGAGUGUUCCACGCCGUGAGGAACCCGCCACGCGCGUCAAGGCGAGGCGCCUCCUGGGCUCCGUCCGUUUCCAGAGCGAGCGCCCGCGAAUACCUAGCUAGCCGCCGCCGUCGUGACCGUUCCAGCCACCGCCAAGGUAAGCUAGAUCAAACUCGGCACAGAUGCACAUGCACCGCGCGCCUCACUGAUGUGAGGAUCCAUUUCCUCAAUCCCCUCUUAAUCUCCAACAUCUCCCCCUUCCAGUGUUGGCGUACUUGACCGGAAGUGAGUGCGCGGCAGAGCAAAGCUCAGCCUGGGUCUUCAUCAAUGCAAGACGGGGCAGGAGGGAGCGGGAAGUUUUUCAGCCACAUGAAUGUGGAAGGCGCUUGACAAAUCAGAGAUGUAUGAAGCUUCUGCCGAGAUGUUUGAGAGGGGCAGCAUAGACAUAAGAGGGGUUCAAUAUUGUUAACUCACAUCAUCCAGACCAGUCAUGGUUGUCCUUGACUAUAGUGUACUUAGGAGGAGGAGAUGAACAUGAAGAAUGAGUUCGUAAUGUGGUUGUCGUUGAUUAAUGGCACCCCCAGCAGCGGUGAUAAUGACCAUGGGGAGGAGAGCACGAACAUCAACAACCUCUUGGCCUUGUUGGCUUCUCCGACAUCAAUAACGACGACUAGCUCGCCAUACAGUUGCUAGAGUGCUAAAGAAUGGUCGAGAAGAACAAUGGAUUGUUGAUGGAGCCAAUCAACAAGGACGAUAAGGACGGCCACAACAGUGAGAAUAAGAAGGGGGAGCUCAUCGCCGUCGGCCGCCAGCUCUGCAGGGAGAAGAAGAACGACAAUGCGUUAAUUAUAAAGAAGUCAACAAUGCCACCUGGUGUGCAAAGGGUCCUAAGGUAUAUGUUAUCCACCAUUGGUAUUGACCCAUUAGAAUAUGUAAGUCCCCGAUGCAACAUACGGGCAAUUUAUAUACAUCGUAGCCCAUAGCAACGUUGCCUGCACCAUUGGAGUUGUAUAUAUUAGAAUUGAGUUAUGAUGGCAUAAUUUUUUCCGUCACAAGUUAAAUGAGCAUUGUGUAAAAGUCUAACUAAGUUUUCUUUCACAUUCUUCUAUAAAUUGGAAGUCCAAUAUAGAUUUCUCAAUGUAUCAUUUUGGGAUUAUUUGACCAUCGGACAAUAUUGCCAUGCUGACCAUUUCUCUUGUCUUUGCAAUAUCUAUAGGAUCUAAUGUAAAAGUAUAAUGUGCUUCACAGAUUUUUUAUUUCUUUUGAUUUUGCCUUGCUUGUUAUUUAUGCUUAUAGCUUUAUAUGUGAGAUUCUAUUUGGUGACACCUUUUUCAAUUGUUAGUUGAGGUGCUUCUGAGUUUAUCAAUCAGGUGAGGCAUGUGGUGCCCUUUCGGAAUGUCGUUUUCUUCUUCCUUGCAUCUCAAAUGCAAGCAACCAUGCUUCUACCGAGGCUUAGAAGAAACGAAGAUGCUGUUGUCAAGAAUUUCACCCCACCCAUUGCAUUGGAUAUCACCUCUGGCUGCAGCAAUAGUGUGUCAAUCUAGCUCACGUGAAUUGAGCUACGCAAUGUCCUAUUAUUACUCUGUUACUCAAAGAGUUGGUAUCCCUAAAUAGUAAGAACAGAGAAGAUUCUUAGUGAGUUAUUACACGUAUUUUAUUCUGAUCUCCUAUAAAAAUCUUUUGUGGUUUAGGCACAACCCAUAUUAUGGUUCUUUUAUACCAAUUAAGUUCACUAUUCGACGAAAUUCCUUUUCACUAAAAUAAGAACCACGUAAUGCUUACAAUUGAUCUGGUCAGCUAGAUAACUAAAUGAGUUAAAAUUAUGCGUACUAACUUUUGACAUAUGUAAUGUGGGGUAGAAGACCAGUGUCUCUUGCUAGGGAUUUCUGGAGGCAACAUCCCUCUGAUUGUAUGCACUUAACUAUUUUGCUUCUGGCUUCCUGCUAUUGUAUUUUACAUUGUCUGCAGAUGCAAAUUCUUUUACGACUAAUCAGUCUCGGAUAAUACUUCAACCCAGACAUCAACGGAGCAAAGAACUUGAUUAAAAGGUUCAAGGAGCUCCGACGCUUUCUAUGACCAAAGAAUUCAUUCAAGCCAGAUUUUCUUUCAAGAUAACAAUAAUGCCUAGGAGCAUCCCUAUCCAUUGAACAAUACCGGAGAGAUAGAGCGCUACUGCCUUACACUUUUCAAUAUCCCUAGCUUUAUUUUCAUUAUUGUGAUAAUUGUGGUAUUUAAAAAUUUAGAAUGCCUUGUGCGAUUAUCUGUGGAUUUUGCAACCCAUGUAAUCUCCUAUUAGACUGGAUAUGAUCAAAAUAAUUCAGCUUUUCAUCAUUGGUUGUCAUCAAGUAGAGCUUAUUUUGUGGAUGGAUGCAUUGGUUUAUGUUUCCAGGCUUUUAGUUUUUCCCUUAUAAUAUUCAGUUGAUUCCCGUGAGGGGUGGCGACCCAUGCUGGACGUGUGAUGAGGGGAGUGUUGUUGAUGCGGUAUGGGAGAUGUCUCGUGGAGAGAGGGGAGGGUGAAAAAGUGAUGGAUCGCAAAUGUUUGGAUGUGCUCGAUCUAACAAUUGACCUGGCGGACAGAUAUCAAGGGUGAUGUUGAGGCCGGCGGCAAAAUAAAUGGCCAAAUGGGGCUCCUCAAUGCAAGUGAGAAGGCUGAUUGAUUCCCGUGGAGCAAUGCAAUGUUGCAUCACAAUGUAUUGGGUUCCAUUUUUGGGCAGAGAAGAAGUGAUUAAG